UACGUAGGUGACCAGCGUUGUCCGGAUUUACUGGGCGUAAAGAGCGCGCAGGCGGUCGUUCAAGUCGAGUGUGAAAGCCCCCGGCUCAACUGGGGAGGGUCAUUCGAUACUGAUCGACUCGAAGGCAGGAGAGGGAAGCGGAAUUCCCGGUGUAGUGGUGAAAUGCGUAGAUAUCGGGAGGAACACCAGUGGCGAAGGCGGCUUCCUGGCCUGUUCUUGACGCUGAGGCGCGAAAGCUGGGGGAGCAAACGGG
rnacentral:rRNA from 1 species